GACGAACGCUGGCGGCGUGCCUAAUACAUGCAAGUAGAACGCUGAAGAGAGGAGCUUGCUCUUCUUGGAUGAGUUGCGAACGGGUGAGUAACGCGUAGGUAACCUGCCUUGUAGCGGGGGAUAACUAUUGGAAACGAUAGCUAAUACCGCAUAACAAUGGAUGACACAUGUCAUUUAUUUGAAAGGGGCAAUUGCUCCACUACAAGAUGGACCUGCGUUGUAUUAGCUAGUAGGUGAGGUAACGGCUCACCUAGGCGACGAUACAUAGCCGACCUGAGAGGGUGAUCGGCCACACUGGGACUGAGACACGGCCCAGACUCCUACGGGAGGCAGCAGUAGGGAAUCUUCGGCAAUGGGGGCAACCCUGACCGAGCAACGCCGCGUGAGUGAAGAAAGUUUUCGGAUCGUAAAGCUCUGUUGUAAGUCAAGAACGAGUGUGAGAGUGGAAAAUUCACACUGUGACGGUAGCUUACCAGAAAGGGACGGCUAACUACGUGCCAGCAGCCGCGGUAAUACGUAGGUCCCGAGCGUUGUCCGGAUUUAUUGGGCGUAAAGCGAGCGCAGGCGGUUUGAUAAGUCUGAAGUUAAAGGCUGUGGCUCAACCAUAGUUCGCUUUGGAAACUGUCAAACUUGAGUGCAGAAGGGGAGAGUGGAAUUCCAUGUGUAGCGGUGAAAUGCGUAGAUAUAUGGAGGAACACCGGUGGCGAAAGCGGCUCUCUGGUCUGUAACUGACGCUGAGGCUCGAAAGCGUGGGGAGCGAACAGGAUUAGAUACCCUGGUAGUCCACGCCGUAAACGAUGAGUGCUAGGUGUUGGAUCCUUUCCGGGAUUCAGUGCCGCAGCUAACGCAUUAAGCACUCCGCCUGGGGAGUACGACCGCAAGGUUGAAACUCAAAGGAAUUGACGGGGGCCCGCACAAGCGGUGGAGCAUGUGGUUUAAUUCGAAGCAACGCGAAGAACCUUACCAGGUCUUGACAUCCCGAUGCUAUUUCUAGAGAUAGAAAGUUACUUCGGUACAUCGGUGACAGGUGGUGCAUGGUUGUCGUCAGCUCGUGUCGUGAGAUGUUGGGUUAAGUCCCGCAACGAGCGCAACCCCUAUUGUUAGUUGCCAUCAUUCAGUUGGGCACUCUAGCGAGACUGCCGGUAAUAAACCGGAGGAAGGUGGGGAUGACGUCAAAUCAUCAUGCCCCUUAUGACCUGGGCUACACACGUGCUACAAUGGUUGGUACAACGAGUUGCGAGUCGGUGACGGCAAGCUAAUCUCUUAAAGCCAAUCUCAGUUCGGAUUGUAGGCUGCAACUCGCCUACAUGAAGUCGGAAUCGCUAGUAAUCGCGGAUCAGCACGCCGCGGUGAAUACGUUCCCGGGCCU
rnacentral:rRNA from 1 species